ACAUAAUAUCUCCACAAUUGAUGGGUGAACACAAACGAACUUGAAAGUUAAUCUGAGAGCUGCUGUUUUGAACUAAACGAAUUUUUUCGGAUUUCUCAUAAAACGAAGUAUCAGCCAAAUGAUGGAGAUGACGCUUUAAAGUGAAACGGAACACGAAACAGAAACACAUCAAGGUGGAAACAAGUGUCAUCCUCAUAUCAAGGGCAACAGGACAAGACGGGGAUGAAGACAAAGGAUCCAGCUCAGGACAGCAAACACAAGGACAUUAAAUAAGGGAGGAACAAAAUUGGCAUAACCAAGGCAACAGGUGAAGGGUAUGAACUGACAAUGAAUAUGGAAACAAGGGGCGGGGCAAAGACGCAAGACAGGGGAGCACAUGGCUCAAAGAAUCAAACAAUGGCAUGUGCUUCCAAACACAAAUACAAGACAUUCACGCUCAAACAUGCAAUGGACAAUGUAUAUCCUUUGAUUAGCUUAUUUUAACAUUGCUGACUAAUACGAAAU